UACGGAGGGUGCAAACGUUGCUCGGAAUUACUGGGCGUAAAGCGCACGUAGGCGGAUUGUUAAGUCGGGGGUGAAAUCCUGGAGCUCAACUCCAGAACUGCCUUCGAUACUGGCGAUCUCGAGUUCGGGAGAGGUGAGUGGAACUGCGAGUGUAGAGGUGAAAUUCGUAGAUAUUCGCAAGAACACCAGUGGCGAAGGCGGCUCACUGGCCCGAUACUGACGCUGAGGUGCGAAAGCGUGGGGAGCAAACAGG
rnacentral:rRNA from 1 species